CCAUGUAGUUCAGUUGGUUAGAACGCCGGCCUGUCACGCCGGAGGUCGUGGGUUCAAGUCC
rnacentral:tRNA from 1 species